AUCACAUACGACCAUAACCAACUGAAAGCUCGGGAUCCCGUCCGCUCUCCCCUAGAUAAGCAGUUGAGUGCCGAACUAGUACUCAGGUGGGUGACCACUGGGGAAUCCUCGGUGUUGUAUGUUUUUG
rnacentral:rRNA from 1 species